rnacentral:snRNA from 1 species
GUGCUCUCUUUGGCAGCAUAUUUACUAAAACUGGAAUGAUGCAGAGAAGAUUAGCAAGGC